AUACGGAGGAUCCGAGCGUUAUCCGGAUUUAUUGGGUUUAAAGGGUGCGCAGGCGGCCAUUUAAGUCAGCGGUUAAAUCGUGGGGCUCAACCCCAUUCUGCCGUUGAUACUGGGUGGCUUGAUUGCGGUCGAGGUUGGCGGAAUUCGUUGUGUAGCGGUGAAAUGCAUAGAUAUGACGAAGAACACCGAUUGCGUAGGCAGCUGACCAGACCGCAAAUGACGCUCAUGCACGAAAGUGCGGGGAUCGAACAGGAUUAGAUACUCUGGUAGUCCGCACAGUAAACGAUGAAUACUUGUUUUCGGCGAUAUAAUGUCGGAGGCAAAGCGAAAGCGAUAAGUAUUCCACCUGGGGAGUACGCCGGCAACGGUGAAACUCAAAUGAAUUGACGGGG
rnacentral:rRNA from 1 species